GCUGGGCAUGGUGGCAGGCUCCUGUAAUCCCAGCAAUUCGGGGGCGGGGGGCCGAGGCAGAAGAAUCGCUUGAACCCAGGAGGUGGAGGUUGCAGUNNNNNNNNNNGCAGAAGGCUCAUGUGAGCCCAGUUGGGCUGUAGUGCACUAUGCAGAUUGGGUGGCUGUGCUAAGUCAGCAUCAACAUGGUGACUUCCUGGGAGCAAGGGACCACCAGCUUGCUAAGGAGGGGUGAAUCAACCCAGGACAAAUUGAGCAGUCAGAAUUCCUGCUGAUCAGUAGUUGGACAGUGCCUGUGUAUAGCCACUGCACUCAAGACUGGACUACAUAGCAAGACC
rnacentral:SRP_RNA from 1 species